AGAGUUUGAUCCUGGCUCAGAUUGAACGCUGGCGGCAUGCCUAACACAUGCAAGUCGAACGGCAGCGCGAGAGAGCUUGCUCUCUUGGCGGCGAGUGGCGGACGGGUGAGUAAUGCAUGGGAAUCUGCCUCGUAGUGGGGGAUAACCCGGGGAAACUCGGACUAAUACCGCAUACGCUCUACGGAGUAAAGUGGGGGAUCUUCGGACCUCACGCUAUGAGAUGAGCCCAUGUCCGAUUAGCUUGUUGGUAGGGUAAUGGCCUACCAAGGCGACGAUCGGUAGCUGGUCUGAGAGGAUGAUCAGCCACAUCGGGACUGAGACACGGCCCGAACUCCUACGGGAGGCAGCAGUGGGGAAUAUUGGACAAUGGGGGCAACCCUGAUCCAGCAAUGCCGCGUGUGUGAAGAAGGCCUGCGGGUUGUAAAGCACUUUCGGCCGGGAAGAUUGCCAUCGAAGUUAAUACCCUCGAUGGUUGACGUUACCGGCAUAAGAAGCACCGGCUAACUCCGUGCCAGCAGCCGCGGUAAUACGGAGGGUGCGAGCGUUAAUCGGAAUUACUGGGCGUAAAGGGUGCGUAGGCGGUUGAACAAGUCGGAUGUGAAAGCCCCGGGCUUAACCUGGGAAUUGCAUUCGAUACUGUUCAGCUAGAGUGCGAUAGAGGAUGGUGGAACUCCAGGUGUAGCGGUGAAAUGCGUAGAUAUCUGGAAGAACACCAGUGGCGAAGGCGGCCAUCUGGAUCGCAACUGACGCUGAGGCACGAAAGCGUGGGGAGCAAACAGGAUUAGAUACCCUGGUAGUCCACGCCCUAAACGAUGAGAACUAGCCGCUGGGAGGGUUGGCCUUUCAGUGGCGUAGCUAACGCGUUAAGUUCUCCGCCUGGGGAGUACGGCCGCAAGGUUGAAACUCAAAGGAAUUGACGGGGGCCCGCACAAGCGGUGGAGCAUGUGGUUUAAUU
rnacentral:rRNA from 1 species